GAUGUACGCUAGCGGCAGGCUUAAUACAUGCAAGUCGAGGGACAGCACAGGUAGCAAUACUGGGUGGUAACCGGCAAACGGGUGCGGAACACGUACACAACCUUCCUUUAAGUGGGGGAUAGCCCAGAGAAAUUUGGAUUAAUACCCCGUAAUAUAGUUGAAUGGCAUCAUUUGAUUAUUAUAGCUACGGCGCUUAAUGAUGGGUGUGCGGCUGAUUAGAUAGUUGGCGGGGUAACGGCCCACCAAGUCUACGAUCGGUAGCUGAUGUGAGAGCAUGAUCAGCCACACGGGCACUGAGACACGGGCCCGACUCCUACGGGAGGCAGCAGUAAGGAAUAUUGGUCAAUGGACGCAAGUCUGAACCAGCCAUGCCGCGUGAAGGAUUAAGGUCCUCUGGAUUGUAAACUUCUUUUAUUUGGGACGAAAAAGGGCCUUUCUAGGUCAACUGACGGUACCAGAUGAAUAAGCACCGGCUAACUCCGUGCCAGCCGCCGCAGUAAAAC
rnacentral:rRNA from 1 species